rnacentral:rRNA from 1 species
AGCCAAGCACCUAAUUAGGUGUGCAGUUCAUCGACUAAAUGUUGGUUGGCGCAAGCUUAAGAUAUAGUCAGACCCUAUCCGAAAGGAUACAGAAUAAUUUUAUUACUAUACUAAUUUACGAUUAAAAUUAAUUACGUAUUAUUAACAAUAUUAAAUAUUAAACUAUGAUAAGAAACUUAAAACCAAUAAAAAUGUAUUUAAACUCUGAUCUAGAGAAAUUAAAUAUAUUAAAUGAUAAUAAGAAUAAACAAGGUAUUUAUUUAUGGAUAAAUACUGUUAAUGAUAAGAUAUACGUAGGAAGUUCUAUGAAUUUAACUACUAGAUUUUAUAAAUAUUAUAGUGUAAAGAAUUUAACUUUACAUAAUACGAUUAUACAUAACGCUCUUCUUAAAUAAGGAUUUAGUAGUUUUAGUUUAGCUAUAUUAGAAUAUGUUUCUAAUAAGGAAGACUUAUUAAAAAGAGAACAAUACUAUAUAGAUUUAUUAAAACCUGAGUAUAACAUAUUAACUAAAGCUGGUUCCAGUUUAGGUUAUAAACAUAAAGAAGAAACUAGAACGUUUUUUAAAGAAGAACGUAGACUUACUAAAGAAGCUAGAAAUAAUUUAUCUAUAGCAGCUACAGGUAGAAUACUACCUAAAGAAGUAAGAAAUAAAAUAGCUAACAAACGUAAAGGUAUAAAACUUACAGAUGAAACACGUACAAAGAUAUCAGAUGCUGCUAUCAAACUUGUAGGUGUUAAAAUUAACGUUAUUAAUAUAGAAACCAAUGAAAGUUCAUCUUUUGAUACUUUAACUAAAGCUAGUGAAUACUUAAAUGUAAGUAGAACGGCAAUAAGUAAAGCAUUAAAAAGUGGUAAAGAAAUAAAGAAAAUAUAUGCUAUAAAAGCAUAUAUAAAGUAAUAAAAUUAUUUGUUAAAUGGAUAACUAAAAGUUAUUUAGGGAGAAGGACUUCAGCUUUACCCUCAGGGUAGAAGAAGUAGAUUCGUUUCUGCGAAACCUAUAAUAGUAGGCAAUUUAAAUAAACAUCUUAGCAGGUACAGAAUUUAAUCUCAGACAAGGCGUUUUAUACGUUUUAUAUUGUACAAAUUGGGGGACCAUGAAGGUUUUAUCAGUGAGUAUGUAGACUCGGAAUGGCAAAGAUGUAUUUUGAAUGAUCAGACAUAGAAUGAUAAGGUUGUAUGUCGAAGGGGAAACAGCCCAGAACAAGAGUUAAGGUUCCUAAAUUAUUAGUUGAGUGAAAUUAAGAAGGUUUUUAUUAAAGUCGACAAGGAGAUAGGCUUAGAAGCAGCCAUAAUUUUAUGACCUCGUAACAGAGCGCUUGUUAAGUUAUAAAAGCAUCGAAAAUAUAACGGAUCUAAACAAUAUACCGAAACCUUGUCCAUUAUAUAUUAUAAUAAUAAUAUUAUUAUAAUUCAAUGGGGUAGCAGAACGUUGAGCUAAAUUAUGAGUUUUAUUUUUUAAAUAGAAUGAUAACGAUUUAACUCAAGUGUGAAUGGUGACAUGAGUAACUAAAAGAAAAUUUUCCGCCUUAAGCUUAUGGAUAUAUUUAAGUAACGGCCUCUAAGUUUAUAUUAUCUAAAGAUUUAAACGAUGAGAAAAUCUUUUUUACUAAGGACGACAUUUUAGUGUAAAAUGUACUGGAAAAAUAGUAAAUAUAUUUAUAGUUAGCUUAGCUUCUAUAAAUGAAGAAUAACCGUACCUAGAAUCUGAAACAAGUAAGCUAGUAGAGAAUACGAAGGCGUAAAUGAGCUAACAAUCAUAAAGGAACUCGGCAAAUUGACUACCGUAACUUCGGAAUAAGGAGGGCUCAUUAUUCUUGAUUAAUAUCAAGUAAAGAGGAAGAAGCAUGAAAUAAUGUUGUACGACUGUUUAAUUAAAACACAGCACUCUGCUGAAAGAUUAAAAAUCUAAGUAUAGAGUGUGAUAUCUGCCCGGUGCCGGCUGGUUAACAGAGAUAAUUGAAUAUACUACUAUUUGAUGUCGACGGAAACCCCGGUUAAAGGCGGCCUUAACGUGAGGGUCCUAAGGUAGCGAAAUGCCUUGGCCGUUAAAUGCGGUCUUGCAUGAAUGGUGUAACGAUACAACAGCUGUCUCUAUGAUUGACUCAGUGAAAUUGGAAUAGCAGUGCAGAUACUGCUUACCUCUAGUUAGACGAGAAGACCCUAUGCAGCUUUACUGUCACUAAUUAUAGAUUAUGAUAGACAAUUUUCAGAUUAUAAGGUAAUUGAUUUAUGACAAUGAGAAACCUUUAUUUUUCUUUCAUAUGAAUGAAUUGGUUUAGGAGUAUAAGUAGAUUGUAAUUUAUGUGGCUUUACUGAGCCAAUUUGUUAAAUUAUAGUCUGUAUGCUUAUACUAGUAGAUCAGCCUAAUUCAACUUACUAUAUUCAUUAUAGUAAGUACCCUUUGGUAAGGAACUAUCGCUAGGGGACAGUUUAUGUGGGGCACAGACCCUGUAAAGAGUAAACAGGAGUGUCUAAAAAUUUAUAAAUAUUUUGUUUGCUAUUUUGAAUAGUUUAACUAUUCUUAAUCAUAUACAAUUAAUUAUAUUUGCAUUUAUUGUAAAUAUAGUUAAGAUUAGGUAGGAUUUUCACUAUAUAGAAAUUAGAGAUAAUAAAGAUAUUAUGGAAACUCUUCUAAUAUCUUUUAGCUAUCUUUUAGAUAGUUAUGUUUACAAUAUCUAAAAAGCUCAACGGCUUAAUCCUGCCUUACUGUUUGAUUAUCUACAAAUCUUACAGUUGCGUAAGCAGGGCAUAGGAUCACAAGAUGCAACAAGGAAAGAUCUUGGAUUAUUGGAAAAGCUACGCUAGGGAUGUUUGUCCUUUAAUAUUUUAUAUUGUACAGUUGGCGAAAGCUAUAACUCUUGUUACAUAUAAAAUUAUUAAUAUAAAUUGGGUAAAUUUCAAGAAU